UCCUAUGGCUUGUAUCCAUGGAAACGUAGUUCUCCCCGACUACGGUACUCAGGCUGACAAACACUGGGAGUCUCCCCAGCCCCCUACCCACCUCGGAUCGGGAGUGUGGACCACAGAAGCUCCCAGAGAACAGCACAUGGGCCCUGAUCGGGGAGGCGGCCACUUUCUCACCUGCUUCGAAUGUCCAGGCCAAGUCAGGCCUCUGAGCCCUGCCCUGCCCAUGUGUGGUCAAGGCCUUGUCUCCUGCCCAAGGCAAAGAGCAGGCCCUGUGCUGGGUGGGGACACAGAGGUGAAUCAGCCUGACUCUUUCUCUGAGGGCUCACGUCUGCAGGGAUAAGACAGCCUCGCCAUCAAGUCGGAGAUGAAGGUCCAACAAGUUUCAUAAGUGAAGGAAUGGAUCAUGGAAUCACUCAGCAAACACCACAGAGAUGUAUCAAGUACAAACUACAUCCUGGGCAGCUUGCUUCCUCCCCUGCUCAGGGAAAGCAGGAGCCAGGCUGCUUUCACAGCCGCCACCUCCAUGGGAUAUGGAGGAGCUGGAGACCCGGCGCCUCACUCAGAGCUCCCAAUAUAGCCGGAGAGACCCAACACCACACACUAACGUGGAGCAGCAACUCCAGGCCUCCCAUGCUUGCUCCCUGCUUCUUCCUCGCCUUCUCUGUCUGUUCCCUCUGGAGUAAGGGGAAGACUCAACGCCCUGGAAUCUGAGCUCUAAGGACCAUCUUGCCCACAGCCUCCAGACUGCUGAGGUCCUUGUUCUUGAAGCUCCAGGGAGGUGGGGGAUCUGAAAUUUCUAAACACUUUGUCAUCUCAUAGUGACUCUGUGAGGUAAUUACUAUUAUUAUCUCCAUCUUAAAGAUGAGGAAACUGGAGCCCAGAGAAUUUAGGGACUGGCCCAAGGUCACACAGAUGCAGGUGGCAGAAGUGGGAUUUCAACACAGGCCAGCGUGACUCGAGGCCCACGCUCUCACCACCCCUCUGCACCCCACUCUCUGGAGCGCUGGUAAACCUCCUCAAAUCCUUUGGGGAGGUAGAGAAGAUAUAAAUAGCAUGCGGGAUUGGGAAGUGAAAAAAGCAAGUUGCAGAACAAUAUAUACAGGAUGAUUACAGUCAUGUAAAAAAAAUAACUUUGAAGCAAUCUGUAUAUAUAUAUAUAUAUAUAUAUAUAUAUGUAUGUAUAAAUCAAUAUGGGAGUAAAUGCACAGAAAUAGACCAGGAAAGAGA